rnacentral:rRNA from 1 species
UACGUAGGGGGGCAAGCGUUGUCCGGAUUCAUUGGGCGUAAAGAGCGUGUAGGCGGCUUGACAGGUCCGCUGUGAAAACUCGAGGCUUAACCUCGAGAGGUCGGUGGAAACCGUCAGGCUAGAGUCCGGAAGAGGAGAGUGGAAUUCCUGGUGUAGCGGUGAAAUGCGCAGAUAUCAGGAAGAACACCCGUGGCGAAGGCGGCUCUCUGGGGACGGUACUGACGCUGAGACGCGAAAGCGUGGGGAGCGAACAGG